AUCAAUUUUCAAUUAAAAUGUGAUUAUUAUGCAAACUUUUAUACACUUUAUAACUCAGUUUUCUAUUGUCUUUAGCUACUGAUGCAAAUGUGAAGAAUGAAAGUCUUUCAUCUGUGCAGCAGCUUGGCAUUAAAAUGACUGUCAGGUAUGGCAAAUUCCUCAAUCUCUUAAAAGAUGGUGCAGAAAAUGAUCUUACCUGGGUUUUAAAGCAUUGUGAGAGAUUCCUGAAACAGCAGCAAACUUCCAUAAAAUCUUCUCUUCUCUGCCUGCAAGGGAAUUAUGCUGGCCAUGACUGGUUUGUAUCUUCUCUGUUCAUGAUAAUGUUGGGAGACAAAGAAAAAACAUUCCAAUUUCUUCGUCAAUUUUCCAGGCUUCUGACUUCUGCUUUUCUUUGGUUGCCAAGGCUACAUAUUUCUAGUUACCUUCCUAAUGACACUGUAGAAUCUGGCAUCCAUCCAGUAUAUUUUUGCAGCACCCAUUAUAUUGAAAUGCUACUGAAGGCUGAGUUGCCUCUUGUGUUUUCAGCUUUUCACAUGUCUGGCUUUGCACCAUCACAGAAAUACAAAGUACCAUCAGAGAAUAUUAUAAACACCUCUACACAAAUAAACUAGAAAAUCUAUAAGAAAUGGAUAAAUUCCUGGACACAUACACCCUCCCAAGACUAAACCAGGAAGAAAUUGAAUCCCUGAAUAGAUCAAUAAUAAGUUCAAAAAUUAUGGCAGUAAUUAAUACCCUACCAACCAAAAAAAGUCCAGGACCAGACCAAUUCACAGCCGAAUUCUACCCAGAGGUACAAAGAGGAGCUGGUGCCAUUCCUUCUGAAACUAUUCCAAACAAUAGAAGAAGAGGGAAUCCUCCCUAACUCAUUUUAUAAGGCCAGCAUCAUCCUGAUACCAAAACCUGGCA
rnacentral:sRNA from 1 species